rnacentral:rRNA from 1 species
AUUGGAACGCUGGCGGCAUGCCUUACACAUGCAAGUCGAACGGCAGCACGGGAGCAAUCCUGGUGGCGAGUGGCGAACGGGUGAGUAAUACAUCGGAACGUGCCCAAUCGUGGGGGAUAACGCAGCGAAAGCUGUGCUAAUACCGCAUACGAUCUACGGAUGAAAGCAGGGGAUCGCAAGACCUUGCGCGAAUGGAGCGGCCGAUGGCAGAUUAGGUAGUUGGUGAGGUAAAGGCUCACCAAGCCGUCGAUCUGUAGCUGGUCUGAGAGGACGACCAGCCACACUGGGACUGAGACACGGCCCAGACUCCUACGGGAGGCAGCAGUGGGGAAUUUUGGACAAUGGGCGAAAGCCUGAUCCAGCCAUGCCGCGUGCAGGAUGAAGGCCUUCGGGUUGUAAACUGCUUUUGUACGGAACGAAACGGCCUUUUCUAAUAAAGAGGGCUAAUGACGGUACCGUAAGAAUAAGCACCGGCUAACUACGUGCCAGCAGCCGCGGUAAUACGUAGGGUGCAAGCGUUAAUCGGAAUUACUGGGCGUAAAGCGUGCGCAGGCGGUUAUGUAAGACAGUUGUGAAAUCCCCGGGCUCAACCUGGGAACUGCAUCUGUGACUGCAUAGCUAGAGUACGGUAGAGGGGGAUGGAAUUCCGCGUGUAGCAGUGAAAUGCGUAGAUAUGCGGAGGAACACCGAUGGCGAAGGCAAUCCCCUGGACCUGUACUGACGCUCAUGCACGAAAGCGUGGGGAGCAAACAGG